CACACCGUGGUGCAAUGGAAGCACACCAGCGCACUAUGCCCUGGAGAUGCGGGUUCAAUUCCUGCCGGUGUGA
rnacentral:tRNA from 1 species